UGCACUGAAAACUGUAUGACCAACAAACCAGGGUCACAUUGUUAGAUACGUUGCAUGACUCUGGGGGCAAAUGCUUGACAAACAUUAUGAUGAGCUGGUUUGGCCUUGUUGCUUGAAAACAACAGGGAUCCUAUUUUGAAAUAGACCUUCAAGUUCGCUGUAAAACUUUUACGGAGGGCAAUGAAGUGGGGCGAGCUCUCCCUAUGCCUGCGUGGCCAUCUGUGUGGUUACAUAUUUGGUUAAAUAAUUAUAGUCAAACAGAGGUUUUUGAAUAUUGUGUGGAACAAACUGUUGUAUUUUACAAUUUGGUGCAUUGAAUCUUGUGGUUUUAAGAUGUGGACAGAUGAUAUUUAUUCAGCCAGAUUGGUUUAUACACCCAAAACCAAAUCUGGUGAUACUUAGUUGACCCAAUACUAUGGUAUUCAAUAAUGCUCAUUAAUUUGGCAAAUUCAAAUGAGGUCACAAAACUAGCAACCGGAAGAAACCCACACAUGCACGGGGAGAACAUGCAAACUCUGCAAAGUGAUGCCUGAGGGUGGAAUCGAACUCGGGUUUCCGAGCUGUGUGGACACCAACUUGUCAGCAAUAUUUUAUUAUUACUUAAACAUGUAUUAUAUACCAUGACUUUCCACAAACUGUGUAAUGUCUCUAAUGUACAUGAGACAUGAUUAUUCUUGCUAAUCGCACGAUAAAAUAUACAGGAAUGCCAUUAGGGAAAUGCUGCAAGGGAAAAGUAAUCCCUUCUGCCUGAAGGGGUGGGGACGUAAAUGAGCUGGAAGGUGCUUGUCACUCCCGUCUUUCCACGGAAAAGAAAAGCAGCAAGUAAAAUGCAAGCACCCUUGUAUAACACCUUUUAUGGCUUUGACGUGGAAUCAUUCUUGCAUCAUCCUUGAUGCCAUCCCUAAAAGACCCACCGAGAGGAGAUGUUAACAACUUUUAAUGUGUUAGCUGCUCAGCCGUCCUUGCCCUAUCCUCCAAGGACCCCCCCAUUCAUGGACUGUGACGAUCAAUAAACUCUCUUCUGAGGAAGAAAUCUUCACUCUAAGGUACAUUUUGAGUUCAGCCCACAACCCCGAAAUUUGACACACAUGAAUUAAUGACUUUGACUGCCAUGAUGGAGGACUAUAUCUUCAAGCACACCAGAAGUUGAUCAGACCUUUACAACAAAGUAACAGCUUUUGCUAGAGUAGGAUAGGGUGCUUCAUAUACAAAUAAAAGGAAAUAAAACUAAAAAUAAAACUAGCAACCUGAAAACUAAAUGUUAAACCAAAGUAAAUUAUUCUCCACCUCAUGAGGCGGGGGUUCAGCUUGUCUGUGUGGUUUAGGGUGUACCCUGCCUCUAACAGAAAGUAAGCUGAGCUGGGAUCCAGUACAUCCAUGGCUUUAAUGAGGGCAAGCAAUAGAGGAAAUGAAUAAAUACAUGCACAAGCUGUCAAACCCAUGUAUUCUGUUCUGUUUGAAUUCCUGGGACUCCUGGGUCGCAAAUUCAUAAUGAAGAAACCAUGACUGAAAAUUGCACAAUAUAAAGUUAUGUGCAAAUAUAUAUAUAUUUUUUUUUUACUCAUGAUGAGCAAUGACCAAUAAAUAUAGAGCCAAACAAAACUAGCUAAAAUAUAACAAACGCAAAAGCACAGUGGAAAGAACUUACUCGAACACAGAAACAGAAAAUAUUAAUUGGCCAAAAGGGCCGGCUGGGACAGAGCAAUAAAGCAUGGUAAGAAGUUGUGCAGAAAACUGGGGGUAAGAGCCACCAUACUUAAACACCUCACUUACCAUUGAUUACCAUUGAUAUGUUGCUCUGGCUGUCAUUGAAAGCCAUGCCAUCUUUGGAGGAAACAUGGCAAAAUCAAAGACAGGAACAGAAAAACACACUAUGUAACAAUAUCUUAUUGGGAACUUACAUUAUCACCGCAGAAUAUGGUCAUAAUUAACUAGCCAUUUAUCAAAAGCCACAACAAUUAUGCCACAACAAACAAAAAACAAUUUUACCAGAAAAUAACCAUUUUUUUUUACAUUGGGUAUUUACGAUGAACUAUUAGAGCUUCUCAUCAGAUGCAUUAUUCUACUGUCACAGUGUACAUUGGGGCCAAUUUUCCAGUGAGUUUGUUCAACCUGCUAUAGUUUAACUGGUCAUAACAGUGAUUAACAUCUGUUUCAUGCCUAUCUCACCAUUAUGCGUUCAAACUAGCUUUUUCACGAUUCCUCAUCUAAUGUUAUUUCAGUCCCAUGACCUGCACCACUGUUGAACCACUUUGCUGUAUUACCAUAUUUACUCUAUUAGGUUAAUCUGCUUCAGCCUUUACAUCAGAUCUCUAGACUCCACUUCAGAAUGUACACUUUGUCAGCAUGUGUAAUCACAUUUACCCCUCAUAUUUUAUGUAGCUACUUAAAUGAGAUUUAUUUUCUGUACAGAGAGUACAGAAAAUUCAUUCAUUUUCUACUGCUUUUUCCCCACGAGGGUCGCGGGGGGUGCUGGAGCCUAUCCCAGCUGUCUUCAGGUGAGAGGCGGGGUACACCCUGGACUGGUCGCCAGCCAAUCACAGGGCACAUAUAGACUAACAACCAUUCACACUCACAUUCAUACCUAUGGACAAUUUGGAGUGGCCAAUUAACCUAGCAUGUUUUUGGAAUGUGGGAGGAAACCGGAGUACCCGGAGAAAACCCACGCAUGCACGCGGAGAACAUGCAAACUCCACACAGAGAUGCCCGAGGGACCCUGGUCUCCUAGCUGUGAGGUCUGUGCGCUAACCACUAGACCGCCGUGCCGCCCGUACAGAACAUUGUGGAAAUUGAUUUACUAUACUUUUCUUUCUGUGUGUUAUACAUUCAAACUAUUCAGCAAUCAAACAUCUGAAACAUAUAUGUCAUGUUAUACAGUAAGCAAUUUGUUAACAGUAAUUUCCGACACUGUGGGUGAUUUUUUUUAGGUUUCAGUGGAAGCGUGUGGUAUUCCUA